AAUCAACGCUGGCGGCGUGCCUCAGACAUGCAAGUCGAACGCGAAAGUUCCCUUCGGGAGCAAGUAGAGUGGCGCACGGGUGAGUAACACGUAGGUAAUUUGCCUUCGGGUGGGGAAUAACAGUCGGAAACGACUGCUAAUACCGCAUAAUGCAGCGGCUCGACAUCGAGACAGUUGUUAAAGCGGGGGAUCCUUCGGGACCUCGCGCCUGAAGAGAAGCCUGCGGCAGAUUAGCUAGUUGGUGAGGUAAUGGCCCACCAAGGCUACGAUCUGUAACCGGCCUGAGAGGGCGGUCGGUCACACUGACACUGAACA
rnacentral:rRNA from 1 species